rnacentral:misc_RNA from 1 species
GAUAAGAACGCAGCAAAAUGCGAUAAGUAAUGUGAAUUGCAGAAUUCAGUGAAUCAUCGAAUCUUUGAACGCACAUUGCGCCCGCUGGUAUUCCGGCGGGCAUGCCUGUUCGAGCGUCAUUUCAACCCUCAAGCCCCCGGGUUUGGUGUUGGGGAUCGGCUCUGCCUUCUGGCGGUGCCGCCCCCGAAAUACAUUGGCGGUCUCGCUGCAGCCUCCAUUGCGUAGUAGCUAACACCUCGCAACUGGAACGCGGCGCGGCCAUGCCGUAAAACCCCAACUUCUGAAUGUUGACCUCGGAUCAGGUAGGAAUACCCGCUGAACUUAAGCAUAUCAAUAAGCGGAGGA